UACGUAGGGGGCAAGCGUUGUCCGGAAUGACUGGGCGUAAAGGGAGCGUAGGCGGGUUGUUAAGUCAGUUGUGAAAGUUUGCGGCUCAACCGUAAAAUUGCAGUUGAUACUGGCAUCCUUGAGUACAGUAGAGGUAGGCGGAAUUCGUGGUGUAGCGGUGAAAUGCAUAGAUAUCACGCAGAACUCCGAUUGCGAAGGCAGCAUACCGGCGCUCAACUGACGCUGAGGCACGAAAGUGCGGGUAUCGAACAGG
rnacentral:rRNA from 1 species